UACGGAGGGGGCUAGCGUUGUUCGGAAUUACUGGGCGUAAAGCGCGCGUAGGCGGCUUUGUAAGUUAGAGGUGAAAGCCCGGAGCUCAACUCCGGAACUGCCUUUAAGACUGCAUCGCUAGAAUUGUGGAGAGGUGAGUGGAAUUCCGAGUGUAGAGGUGAAAUUCGUAGAUAUUCGGAAGAACACCAGUGGCGAAGGCGACUCACUGGACACAUAUUGACGCUGAGGUGCGAAAGCGUGGGGAGCAAACAGGAUUAGAAACCCCCGUAGUCC
rnacentral:rRNA from 1 species